GGAUGCGCCGCUGGAAGGAAGGAUGCGCCGCACGUCCAGGUAACAGGACAAAACAGAGGACAGUGGGAGGUCAGGCUCCUUGGUAAGUAGCCGGAUUUUUCAUUAGUUGAACUCUGGGUGAUCUUCAGAGUUGUAAAAAGGAGUGUGAUUGCAGCAAAUUAGCAGGGAAGUGUUGACAAGGGUGACUUGGUGUUUUGGACACUGGGGGAGCUGAGGCUGCAAAGUGCAGCUGUAAAACUACGCAGAGAUCUUCCCUGGUUUAAAUGGCAAGGCCUAAUUGAUUUUGAGGGACUUUGGUUUUAGAUGUUUUAACAAGGAGCAGAUUUAAUUGUUCUACAAAAGCUUUGGCAUAGCCAAAUGAAGACAGUUAAAUUUUAUUAAUUAAUUGCACAAUUCUGCAUUGUAUCUGAUUUUGAAACAUUCCAAGAGUCUGGUGAUGUCAAGCCCGGCGAUGAGAUUGUAUCCUCACAUGGAACAUUGAACAUCCCCUGCAUCACAUUUUAGACUCAAGUUCUCAGUGAUGGGAUGUAUCAUUCAGUUCAAAUCAGUGCUUUGUGAACUACUGUGGAGGGAAGAGAAUGAAUUUUUUUGAUAGAUAGCAUGUAUUUUUGAGAGUGCCCUCUGAUCUUUUUCAUUGAUGCACAGUUUAAUUUUUUCUAAUGGUUUUAAUUUCAUGUAGCUUGCCUUUCAAGUGCCAGAAUACUGAACCUCUGAGACCUCUGAGAAAAGUGUAGGAGUGAAUUUCUUGACUGCAAU
rnacentral:lncRNA from 1 species